GUACAUGGCUACAACAGAGCGUUAAUGCAUCAGAUCCCAUUAUAACUCCACAGUUAAGUGCAUUCGAGCUAGAGUAGUACUAGGAUGGGUGACCACCCAGGAAGUCCUAAGGUUUUACAUU
rfam:Picea glauca, whole genome shotgun sequence.